rnacentral:lncRNA from 1 species
UUCUCUCCUCGACGACCCAUCUUUCUAUUCUGUCAUCAUUUUCGUUCCUCUGUUAGCAGUGUUGUUGCCAUCGUCUCUUCCACUGGCAUGGCUACCGUUUACCAACGUUGGUCUACUCUUGACUAUUUUUCAUCAGACUUUGCUUAUAAAACCCACUUAAAAAACCUAAAGGGUAAUACCAGAAAAUAACUUUGGGAUUGAUUAUUUAUGUUGAAGACUUUAAAUCUGCCAAAAGGGGAGAGAGAUUGCGAGAAGGAGCUGAGGAAUCCGAGGUAAGAUCCAAACACUCGGC